rnacentral:rRNA from 1 species
ACGUCAAAUCAUCAUGGCCCUUAUGCCUGGGCAACACACGUGCUACAAUGGCUGUAACAAAGCGACGCAAGCGCGCGAGCGCAAGCAAAACGCAAAAAGGCAGUCUCAGUUCGGAUUGUAGUCUGCAACUCGACUAUAUGAAGCCGGAAUCGCUAGUAAUCGCGAAUCAGCAUGUCGCGGUGAAUACGUUCCCGGGCCUU